AUUGAACGCUGGCGGCAGGCCUAACACAUGCAAGUCGAACGAGUGGCGGACGGGUGAGUAAUGUCUGGGAAACUGCCUGAUGGAGGGGGAUAACUACUGGAAACGGUAGCUAAUACCGCAUACCAUCAGAUGUGCCCAGAUGGGAUUAGCUUGUUGGUGGGGUAACGGCUCACCAAGGCGACGAUCCCUAGCUGGUCUGAGAGGAUGACAGGCAACACUGGAACGGAGACACGGGCCAGACUCCUACGGGAGGCAGCGGGGGGGAAGAUUGCACAAUGGGCGAAAGCCGGAUGCAGCCAGGCGGCGUGUAGGAAGAAGGCCUUCGGGUUGUAAAGUACUUUCAGCGGGGAGGCGUUACCCGAAGAAGAAGCACCGGCUAACUCCUUGCCAGCCGCCGCGGUAAAC
rnacentral:rRNA from 1 species